rnacentral:lncRNA from 1 species
AACUGGGUCCCAUUUCCUGCCCCCACCGUGUCAGCUCCCUGCAAGCAAAGGGUAGAAGCAGAGACCCCACAUGUUGGCGUCAGCCUCCAGGACCCCCUUGGGGCAACAGGGCCAACGUAUCUGGCUCGGACAACGCAGCGAUCAGACGAUGAUGGUCUAGAAACGUCCGUGGACUGCUCUGCAGAGCCCACCUCUGGGCGUGCCCUCUUCCGGAGAUACACCUGCUGGAGGGGUCCUGGCUCAAGACACAUGCACGCAGCCCCCAAGGGGAAAGGCGCUCACAAAAGACUCACAGAAGCAACAACACACAGCGCAUCUCCCUUCAUCUUGGAACCUGUACUGCGAGGAAAAUACAAAGGCUUUCCAUGGGGCGGAGGAAGAAACUGAAACCUACUGUGCCCGAAGUUCCCUUUGGUCUCCGAUGGGUAAACACAAAAUCUGAGAACCGAUCUAAAAGCUCCUUUCUGUGGUUGCUUCCUUCAAGUUGGAUUAAAAAGAAAAGCCUCUUGGAAAGAUCCCAGGGUAUAAAAUAGUGGGGAGGNNNNNNNNNNNNNNNNN